rnacentral:lncRNA from 1 species
CCAAGGGUCCCAGCCUGGAGGGCCGGUCUGCGUGCCAGGUGGGAGGGGACCCGAUGGGGACAGACAGGCCCUGUGCCCUCCGCAGCGCCCCGGUCCUCAGGCCCAGCUGGAGCCCGCCGUCCCGACCCCUUGGCCUGCCUGGCGCCCCGGCUCCCAACAGGGACUGAGGGUCCAGGCCCCAUCACACUCUGAGGACGCCGAGCUGAGUGGCCGGGCUGCUGCUGUGUCUCCUCCCGGCUCACCCGCUGUCCCCCGCACCCUGCCGCCCAGGCUGUGGGGCCCUGCAGAUGCCACCAUGGGGUGGGCCAGUCCUGAGUGGUCCUCCUGGAGCACGGGAAAGAGGUGGACACUGGCUACAGGAUGGAGAAGCUUGCUGCCGCCCGCCUGUUCCAGCCACACCGCCCGCCUCCGGGCCGAGUCCAGGUUAGAGGCGGUGGCAAGGCCCAGGAGAGGGUCUGCUCUCCCAGGGUG